CGCGGAACCUCGGUUUCGCUUGCGAGUCUAAAGCAGGGCCGCCUCUUGGGUCAUUUUUGGGAGCGGCCAGUGGCGAGCCGAGUGCUGGGUGCGGCCCUGCCGUCCCUGGCGUUUUCCGGACGUGCUUGGAUUGAAACCCCAAGCGGGAGCUUGAAGCGAGCUUCCCACCAGGCCCUGGGCUAACCUGACCACCCUGCCUUUACCUCUGCGACAGGCGCAGGUUCGAGCCGGGCUGCGCAGGGUCAGAGCGGCCGAGCCCACUGGCACAGAGCUGCCCAUCCUGGAAAAAGACGGGCCCCGCGGGGUGAUCCUGCCGGACGUCGUCCGACCGGAGCGCCAGGCCACGCAGCUGAUGGGGACGGAAGGCAGCGACCAGGACGCGGUGCCCACCGUCGGGGCGGUCCUGACUGGGGGCCAGCUGCUUCUCUACCGCGGGCUGGCUUGUGCCCUCGCGGUCGCUACUCUGGCCGCGGGAGUCGCAGUCAGGCUUCUCCACGGCCGCGGGUGACGCAGAGCCGUCGCCAGCCUGCGCCGCGGGGCCGCGCCUCGGCAGCCGCAGCGAGUUCGCCCUCAGCCGCGUGCCAAGGGGCAUCAGCGACGGCUUCCUCGUUGUCCCGCGGCGACUUCGCGCUGUCUGGCGGGAGAGCGGGGGUUACAGUUCUAGAGACCCAUCUUCCCCCAGCGCAACUCGGCCUCCGCGGGUGCUCCCUUCUGUCUUGUCUUGUGUUUAGGGUCUGUCCUCCCCCAGGACAGCGGGUCCCCGUCUGCCCAGACCCAGUGCGACAGCCUCUGCCUGUGGCGCUCCUCUCACUGAACCCGUCCCGCUGGGCGGGUGGACGGGGUGCUCGGAGGUCCUGUCUCGGGGAAGCUCUGAUAAAAUAAACACCUUAAAUGUCGAAUGUGUGUGCAUAAUAUUCUUACCUAAAUGAUAACUUUUAGGAUUUUUUUUUUUUUUUUUGCCUUUUAGCCAAUUUUUGUUCGGCUUUCAUGUUAAUUAAAAAAUAAGCCUAUGCUCUCUCCCGCUGCCCAGGCCCCAAAUGCCAGCAGGUGCGUCCCCACCUCCCUGGGGGGUUUAGAGCCUGGGACAGGGGAUGUGACCGGCCCACACAGGCGGUCCUGAGAAGAGGGACGGCCGCCGGAGCUUCCCGACACGAAGCCCAGGGGACGAGCAGAGCGCAGCGCUGUUUCCAGCCCCCGGUGAGCAGCAGGCCCUGGGGGGAGCGCGGGCAGGGCAGUUAUUCGAGAACACGGCUGGAAGGAACAAAGCCUGCGGGACAGUGCCGACCACUG
rnacentral:lncRNA from 1 species